rnacentral:lncRNA from 10 species
CGGCCACAGCUGGGAUUUUGAUAUGGAGUCUUGCUCUGUCACCCAGGCUGGAGUGCAGUGGCAUGAUCUCGGCUCACUGUAACCUCCGCCUCCCGGGUUCAAGCGAUUCUCGUGCCUCAGCCUCCCGAGUAGCUGGGAUUACAGGUGCGCACCACUGUACCCGGCUAAUAUUUGUAUUUUUAGUAGAGAAGGGGUUUCACCAUAUUGACCAGGCUGGUCUCGAACUCUUGACCUCAGAUGAUCCGCCCACCUCGGCCUCCCAAAGUACUGGGUUUACAGGCACCUUCCUGAGAGUGGUUGGUGACAGCAGCCGGGGCUAGAAACCUCGAGCCUACUGUGCUUGAGUCCUCUCUUGCUCUUUACAUCCCAAAUCCCAUCAGUUGUCACGCCUUGUGCCUUCUGGGCAGGAGAAUUGGUUGAAGCCAGGAAUUUUAGACCAGCCGGGGCAACAUAGUGAAACCCCGUCUCUACAA